rnacentral:rRNA from 1 species
GACGAACGCUGGCGGCGUGCCUAACACAUGCAAGUCGAGCGGAGUCGAUCGACGGAAGCCUUCGGGCGGAAGAUGGUUGACUUAGCGGCGGAUGGGUGAGUAACGCGUGGGCAACCUGCCUCGAAGACCGGGAUAACAGCCCGAAAGGGCUGCUAAUACCGGAUGUGGUCAAGGAUCCGCAUGGAUUUUUGAUUAAAGGGGAAACCCGUUUCGAGAUGGGCCCGCGUCCUAUCAGCUAGUUGGUGAGGUAAAAGCUCACCAAGGCGACGACGGGUAGCCGGCCUGAGAGGGUGACCGGCCACACUGGAACUUAGACACGGUCCAGACUCCUACGGGAGGCAGCAGUGGGGAAUUUUGCGCAAUGGGGGAAACCCUGACGCAGCGACGCCGCGUGAGCGAAGAAGGCCUUCGGGUCGUAAAGCUCAGUCAUUGGGGAUGAAAAGGACAGUACCCAAAGAGGAAGCCCCGGCUAACUACGUGCCAGCAGCCGCGGUAAUACGUAGGGGGCGAGCGUUGU